rnacentral:rRNA from 1 species
UACGUAGGGGGCAAGCGUUAUCCGGAAUCACUGGGCGUAAAGGGUGCGUAGGCGGCCUAGCAAGUCAGGGGUGAAAGGCAUUGGCUCAACCAAUGUAAGCCUUUGAAACUGUUGGGCUUGAGUGCAGGAGAGGUAAGUGGAAUUCCUAGUGUAGAGGUGAAAUUCGUAGAUAUUAGGAGGAACACCAGUGGCGAAGGCGACUUACUGGACUGUAACUGACGCUGAGGCACGAAAGCGUGGGGAGC